AGUAGGUGCACCACAGUGAUCACCACAUACAGAAAAUUCUGCCUGACAUUUCCAGAGUUUUUGUACACUAAAAUUGUAACCAAAGGCUUGUUCACAAAGGCUAUGCCUUCUGUCUACUGAGGAUAUACCAGGAAGAAUGUUCUAACAUUUUGCUCUGUACAGCUUUGUCCUGCCUAGACUCACUUAUGUGGCUAUUGGCAGCUCAACUGGACAGCUGGGUCUCUAUAUGGCCUUUCACACCAGUCUCUUCACAGUGUGGUGGUUUCAAGAUUUGAAGACCACAGCCCUAAUAUAAAAGAAGAGGGAAGAUGAUUUAAAAAAAAGAAGAGAUAUCCAGUUGUUCUAGUGCCAUGUGUCGAAAGGAUUAUUUUCUCUCCAUGGAAUUACCUUGCUGAAAAAUGAAUUGAUCAUGUAAGUGUAGCUUUAUACUAAGUAUUCAAAUCAGGUGACAACAUUCCUUCAACUUUUCAACUUUGUCU